AUGCAUAAAAUAAUAGCAUUUUUUUUCCAAUCUCAGCUUUAUUAAAUAUAGUAUAUGUUCCGCACCUACCAUAUGUGGACGAGUCGCAAAUCCAUUACAAAGAAGAGAACCUGCUGGGUGAAGGUGCAUUUGGAAGAGUGUAUAGAGGCUACUUUCAGGGCACCCCUGCUGCCAUUAAAAAGAUUCUCUAUGGCACCGCAGGACUUCCAGACCAAGACAUCCAGCACGAGAUUCUGGUCUCACUCCGACUGAGCCAUCCCAAUAUUGUUCGACUCAUGGCUGCAGCCCGCACUGACAACGCCUUCCUGCUGGCCAAUGAGUAUAUACACGGCACAACCCUGGAGGAUGCACUACACAAUGACCAUUCUUGUGUUAAGCUUGAAGGAGAUGACAGUUAUUUUGUUGCCCUCGACAUCUCGAUGGCCAUUGAGUACAUCCAUUCAAAAAAUGUCAUCCAUCAAGAUUUAAAGCCAGCCAAUGUUUUGAUCGACCAUUUCUAAAAAAAGGCUGUACUGACAGACUGGGGCCUUGCCAACAUCAGAGACACGGUUGUACUACAACAAGGAAGCAGACUUACUGGAGGAGGAAUAGGGCCAAUGGGUGGAACCUUUCUUUAUAUGGCCCCAGAGUGUCUAGCUGAAUUUGAACAGGCUUCCAGUAGUUCUGACAUCUGGUCUCUGGGAGCAACAUACCUGUAGAUUUUCACAAAAUCAGUGACAUGGACAGUGAAAAACCAAAGAGAGUUGUGCAGUCUAAUGGCCAAAAAGGUGCCACCACAAGCUUUACAACAUCUGAGAGACAAGUACCAGUUUAUUGGUACAAUGUUACACUAUGAUGCAGCAUCAAGACCUGAAGCUUCCUCUGUGGUGCUCUACCUAAAAACAGUGGAGGGGCCAGAUUUAAAGAGCCGUCAUGGUUAUGAAUGGUAAAUGUUACGGAUUAUCACAUGGACAGUGUAACAUUUCUUGUCAUUUUCAGUUUGUAGUACAAAUACCAAUGUUGGUAAAAUGUUAACAUUAUAAUCACAGCCCUUCUCUCUGUCUAACACUGCUGGUAUGUUUUAUUAUUUGUUUCAAUGUAUGUUCACAUCAUUAAACAUGUUUUGCAUCUUCAUUUGUAGCACUUUUUUAAUAAUUUGGUCCCUUUAUAUGGAUUUAUUUAGUUGGAUAAGCAGUUAAAAAGUCCCUGUCUCAUUGGCCAGCAGCUGGUAUAUUUCAUUUGCCUCUGCAAAUGUGGAUGGAAUGGGAAUGCCUCUUGUUUGAAGGACUGUGGUGAAUUUAUCCACCAACAUGAGGUAAGCCGCCAAAGACCCAUCUGGUGAUGAUGGAAAGUUUGUAUUUUGC
rnacentral:lncRNA from 1 species